rnacentral:sRNA from 1 species
UUUUGUGCCCGCCCCAUCCGCUAACGGGCAGGUUACUCCGUCCCAACACAGUAGACGAAGGCGGCGGCGAUGGCGGCGGGGAUAGUGGCUUCUCGCAGACUCCGCGACCUACUGACCCGGCGACUCACAGCCUCCAACUACCCGGGACUCAGUAUUAGCCUUCGCCUCACUGGCUCCUCUGCACAAGAGGAGGCUUCCGGAGUAGCCCUCGGUGAAGCCCCAGACCACAGCUAUGAGUCCCUUCGUGUGACGUCUGCGCAGAAACAUGUUCUCCAUGUUCAGCUCAACCGGCCCAACAAGAGGAAUGCCAUGAACAAGGUCUUCUGGAGAGAGAUGGUAGAGUGCUUCAACAAGAUUUCGAGAGACGCUGACUGUCGGGCGGUGGUGAUCUCUGGUGCAGGAAAAAUGUUCACUGCAGGUGUUGACCUGAUGGACAUGGCUUCGGACCUCCUGCAGCCCAAAGGAGAUGAUGUGGCCCGGAUCAGCUGGUACCUCCGUGACAUCAUCACUCGAUACCAGGAGACCUUCAACGUCAUCGAGAAGGUGACUCUAGGGGGCUGGAGGGCAUCCUUCUCCAUACCCGCCUCCCCUGGGCCAGCCUUGACCCCACUCUUCCUGUUCCCUCUCAGUGCCCCAAGCCCGUGAUUGCUGCCGUCCACGGGGGCUGCAUUGGCGGAGGUGUGGACCUCGUCACCGCCUGUGACAUCCGGUACUGUGCCCAGGAUGCUUUCUUCCAGGUGAAGGUGAGUCAUCCUCCCGAGCUCCUGCUUAGAGCUGGGCAGUGGG